rnacentral:lncRNA from 1 species
UUCAAUCUGAUCAAAAAUAAUUCUUCAGAUCUAACCAGGGGAAUCUACAGCCCAAAGAGCCAGUGCAAAGAAAUACAAAGAUUAAUGGCUAUGACUUUCCAGAACCCAAAAAGAAUUGUCCUCUUUUCUACUCUUUUCUUUUGGAUGUGUUGGUCUGAUUCUAGAGAGAGAGAAAGAAAGCUAGAGAGAGAGAGAGAGUUUAUUGAGAAUACUCAAAAACCAAUUUGGAGAGCCAAAAUAAGAAGUCCUAGGAUAAAUAAGCAGAGAGGAGAGAGAACCAAAACCCUUAGAGCUUUACCCCAGGCCAAAUGUAGCUUUUAACUAUGGUUUGUAUUGGAACAGGAGAUAGAAACAGCCGUAAAGAGAUAGAAACACCCACGUUAGAGAGAGAAACUCCCAUUUUUAGAGAGAGAAACCGUCCUCUUGGUGCUCCAUGUGAACAUGCCACCAUUAGUGUGGUGAUU